rnacentral:rRNA from 1 species
CUACGGGGGGCUCCAGUGGGGAAUAUUGCACAAUGGAGGAAACUCUGAUGCAGCAACGCCGCGUGGAGGAUGACACUUUUCGGAGCGUAAACUCCUUUUAUAUAGGAAGAAGAUGACGGUACUAUAUGAAUAAGCGCCGGCUAACUCCGUGCCAGCAGCCGCGGUAAUAAGGAGGGCGCAAGCGUUACUCGGAAUCACUGGGCGUAAAGAGCGUGUAGGCGGAUUAAAAAGUCAGAAGUGAAAUCCUAUAGCUUAACUAUAGAACUGCUUCUGAAACUCUUAAUCUAGAAUAUGGGAGAGGUAGAUGGAAUUUCUGGUGUAGGGGUAAAAUCCGUAGAGAUCAGAAAGAAUACCGAUUGCGAAGGCGAUCUACUAGAGCAUUAUUGACGCUGAGACGCGAAAGCGUGGGGAGCAAACAGGAUUAGAUACCCCCGUAGUC